ACAGGUCUUAAAUGUGGGAAAUAGUCUAUAGUUUGGAAGACACCAGAGAAAAAUGCUCCACAGCUCGCCCUGGUGACUCACUACAACUUAUGGGAAGAUGUGAGAUUAUUCUGUAUUCUAAUGUAUGUUAGAAGGCACACUCCACCCAAAGUCUUCCUGUGUGUUCCUCCCUGUGAGCUCACAUCCCGUUCACCAGCUGACUGGGAAGGGAAGUCAGGACCAGCCCUGACCCCAUCACACCAUCAUAACCUCGGGAUGGCAGGGCUGGAAGGCACCUCAGAUGUCCUUUGCAGACUCUUCAUUUUACAGUGAGAGGCAUGAAGUGUCCACAGCUGGUUAGUGCCGAAGCCUGGGACAGGCUUCACAUUGUCCAGCUCUUAGUCAGAGCACUGUUGACAAUGUCUGCCUUCACUUGGAAUUCAGCACCUGCUUUCAGUAUAAACCCCUGCAUUUCACUAAAACUGAGCAGACUGCUGGUUUAAAAAAGAGAGGUCCAUCCAGCAGGGAUGACGCUUUUCCUCCUUGAAAGAGGACAUUCACCUAAUGGGAGACCUGGAGUCAGAAUCUUUCUGAUGUGUGACUUGGCACAGUAACACAAUGCAGGAUGCUGGUGUGUUAAUAGAAAUAAAAAUUGCAUCUGCCUACCUCAGAGUCGACAACAAUGUCAAGGAGUUAAUAGUCUUGGCAACACAGAGGCCACUGGACAGAGGCAUAACCUUGCGUGGCAGCUGCACGGGAAUUGGAUUUGGCUCAGGUGUUUCAGAUGACUAAGAAAACCAAAAGAUCCUGCCUUACUAUGCACCUAUGGCCCUUCAAAGGCGAGAGUAGAAUCUGCUGUGAUUUAGAAGCAAACAAGAAAAAGUACACAUCAGGUGAAUGGCUGCUAGCUAAGACCUUGGGCUUUGGGGUCAGACAGGCCUGGGUUUAAAUCCUGGCCCUGUCGUUCUGGGGAAACAUGUUUCUGCUUUCUCCUAUAUGAAAUAGAGGCAGUGGGUAUCCUGAACAUGUCACCUUUACUUGUCCAGCUUGUCAGUUAGGGUUUGGUUAGGGAAACAGAGCUGCUGUAAACAUUAUGGGAAUAAGGGAUUUUAUUCAGAAUUGGAGCCUGCACAGAUGUAGAAGGAGGCAUGAAGAGGGUAUUGGAGGAUUGGCCACUAUGCAGUCUGCAUCCUGAGUCUGUGGUGAGGCUGGACACGUUCAAGCUUACAGGAGAAUUGGAGAAAGCAAGCAACACAGCGGUGGAAGUGAGACCACUGAAGGUAAGCUUGGGAGGGGGUCCCGACACCACCACAUCAGUGGAUCCACAGCUAAGUGAUUGGUGGUGGCCUGGGGUUCUGCUGUUUAGCAGGGACAAGAGUGGAGGAGACAAACUGGACUCGGAACAAACUGGGAGCCUCUGCAUCCAUCCGUAACUGUCUGGCCAUGACAGUGGUUAGAGAGGAGUAGCUUCUGUGAAACUCUCACAAUCUCAAAUCUCCCACAAGUGCCUCUUUCAGCUAACUCUAAACUGGUACCAUAGAGGAAAUGGAUUCUGAAAACUUGGUCUCCAACCUUAGACAAAUUGAAUAAUUAAUAUGUCCUCUCCUGCUUCUUCCGUAACUGAAUUUGCAUUGGGAAGCAGGCCUGUCACUCUCAGACUUUGUGGUUUGAGUAGGGCUCACUUCAGCACCACCUUUUCCUCCUCUCAGCCCCACGGACUGGCAUGAGACUCAGGCCUGGCCAACUGAAUGUCACACACCUAUGACCAUCAGUUGGCUCAGAGAUGGACUCAGGACACCAUCACAGCCAAUGAAACCCUGUUAGGGAAAUUUGUCAGAACCAUACAAAGAAAUAGCUCCACUUUUCCACAGAGAUGAGACAUAAGCCUGGACUAACUGGUGUCCAAUUUGCCAUCAAGAGAGCCUCUGAGAAGACAGAGGAAAACUGGGGAAAGCGAAGUCUAAGGAAGGCGAGUAAGGACAAGUCCAGUUGACAUUACAUGAAUCACCUGGACCUGGAAAUCAAGGCAUUGCUGGAUUCAAGGCCAAGAAAAAUUGGAAGCUGACUUGAAUCAGGUUCUAUCACUUGCAGUUGAAAAGGUCCAGACUAAUACGAUAACAAAGGAGCAAGUAAGCAAGAUUCUGCCCUACAGUAAGUGCUCAAUGCAUGUCAGCUGGUAUUAUUAUUAUACAGACUUCUAUUUCUAGCCCUUUUAUUUCUACCACCUCUCUUCUGUGUUGUAUGUAAAGUGCAUAAGGAUUGUUCUGUUUGGAAACAUCAAACCAUAUAAAAUGACACCAGCAGGUCCCUUUCUGUCUGUCAGUGUCCGCAAGCUCAACAACCAGGAUCAGCAGACAAAAACAGCUAAGCUGGAGUCAGUGUUUUUAUGAAGAAAUAGGAAAAGAGCUUACUUGGGAACUGUAGCUCAUCCUUCAAUAUUCUCCAUCCUAUCACUCUUUUCAUGACAGUUUCUUCUUGGCCCUGAAGUUGCCUUGUCAUGGCUCUCUGCCUCUGUCCUUUCUCUGUCUCACUUACAUCUUCCAACGAGGAAUACAGCAAGACCUUUGGAUAAGGACAUCCAAAGGUCCUCAGUAUCCUUAGGACACUCAGUGCAGAACUAGAGGGACUGAGAGGAGGAGCUUUUGCAGGUUAAAUGACUAGUGAAUGGCCUUUCCUUAUAUUUCCAUUAGAAAUGGGAUUAGCUACACCUGAGAAGGAAUGACUUUGGAACAACUGAUCCCUAGCUUUCCAAAAUAUGAGAAAUUGAGAUACAGGGAGUAGUAAGCACCUAGUUAAUGAGUCAAAGCAUAUUUAUAAAGUUCACAGGGUACAUAGCAUAUAGCAGCUGUUCUCUAUCUCAAUUGAGUUUUGACUAGGAAAUGGGCUUAGGAUAAAACACAUAGGCUUUCGAGUAAUCAUUUGUAAGAAAUUGUAGAUAGUGACCACAGUUUAAUAGCAUUAGAUAAAUUAUGAAAAGUCACUGAAAUACCUCCUCUGGAAAGUGUUAGAAGCUCAAGUACAAUGGCUUAGUUAAAGGCAGGUGGGGGAGAAACUUGAAGAAUGUGGUCCAGUACAAGAAUACUCCAUUUUUCCCCCAAGACAAUGAAAAUGACAUGAAGUAAUGGUAGUUAUGUAUACAGGAACAAUUUAGGAGACUUAGAAUGUUCACUUCUUUUGCCUUCUAGCUGAGCAUCAAAAUUCUCUCUCUGUCUCUGCCUCUCUCUCUCUCUCUCUAUUUUCCACUUCUAGCUCCAACUAUUUUAAAUCCCUCCCCCAAUAGAGCUCAUAACAAACAUAAAACAACAUUUGUUGUAUGUUUACAAUAGAUGUUCAAGCUAAUAUUUAUGUAGGUUUAGCCCUGGCAUUAAAUUAAGGUUUGGUUCACCAACAGGGUGCCUAGAGACUUCACCUCUAUUUCCAUGAGGGACUGAACAGCCUCUUGAGAAGGAACUCAUCAAAAUGGAAGAGUUGGCAAUAAGAAGUUUGGCUAAAUAACCAAGCACUGAAGUUGCAGAGGAGAAAGGAUUUGAAAGGCAGUACAGUGUCCAGGGGCAAGUUGGCAAUUUUUAGCAGGAGGUGAAGUGAUGCCAGCAAAGGUAACAGUGCUCAGAGGGACCAGUAGUCCCCAGGAGGAGCAGGGGAAUCCCCAGUGGAUCUGAUUUCUUCAAGAGCACAUGUGAGAUUAUCAGCUGGCGUUACAAUUUUGGAGUGGCAGUGAGAAGCAGUGAAUUUGAGGUCACUCAAUUUGCAGACCCCAAAGGGUGAAAUGUUGAGAAACAUGAGUUACACAUGUAUUUAACAACUCUUGUGUAUUAUCACAAAUCCUAUUUCACCUCUCAUGCCCCCGAGGCUUUGGUGUCCAGUUCUCUGAAGACUUCAUCAAUCCUCAGCCACAAAUAACCUGAGAGCAACUCACCUUGCUUCAUACUAUGAAGCUCCCUGAUGUCACAGCAUGGCAGGCCUGUGGCAACCCCUCAACACUUAUGCAUGAUCCCAAACAGCUAGAGGAUUAACACCUACGGUGUAACCCUUGACCAGCAGGAAAUGGAAAUUACUGUCUUUUUGUCCCCGCAGGUGAACGGUUCUAAAAUGCAUUUUAUAAGCCUUCUGAAAUAGUCCCACAGGUCAAGCACCUACUUGCUCCAGUGGUGACCAACUCAAUGAUGCAUCCUUGGGUUGACUCUCCCUCCUUUCCAGUUCACUUUCCCUGCCCCUCACUCCUGCACCUCAGCAUCACAUUCCUGAAUAAACCACUCACACAUCUGUCUUAUUUCAGACUCUGUUUGGGGGAAUCCACAAUAAAAAUUUGUCAUUUUGAGUUAAACAUUGCUCUCACCUUGAAGACAUAUUUCCAUACCUAGAGAUUUCUGAAGUUCUCUCCCUUUUCCUAUCAUCUCCUUUGUGCUUUGUCUGACCUCCAUGUUACAGAGCCCCAUGAUAUUUAGAGCCAGUACUGCUAGGGAAGUAGUUCAGUUGUGUUUUAAAUGGUUCAGCAACUUGUAACAUCAAUUGAGAACCAGAGGAAUACACUUGGAGGCCAAGAAAAAAAUGUUAGCUAAUAUGUACCAUACAGUAUGAUUCCUUGGGUAAGGGAAAGUAUAUGCAAGUGACAGAGGAAAAUUGAAAGUUGUAGCCCUUUUUUUGGACUUUAGAUUUGGAAUUAGAGUUUCUCUUCUCUUGAAAGACCUUCUUUUUGUGGAUAAUGAAUCUGAAGACCAGAAGAGUUGGCCAAUUUGCCCUAGUUGAGAGUGGCAAAUAAAUGAAGAACUGAAGAAUGUGUCUCUUUAACUAGUGCUCCUUUGUUGAGAAGAUACAAAACAACUGAAGGGUAUGGAUGAAGCCAUUGGCUUAUUCAUGUCUCUCUUGAUCACAAUGAGAUUAAUAUAUAUAGGACAUUCACACAAAGAGGACAUUGACUCGAUGGCUUACAGAUUAUUAGAAAUGUUACCUACUACUAAAGGAAGAAUGUUUCAGGUGUGGAUCUGGAUCUCUGAUUUAAAAAAUACACCACACUUGCCUCAGUGAAGCAAGUCAACUUAGGUGCUGAUACAAUGCUACUGCAGCUGUGCUGAGUUCAUGAAAUCAGAUCCCACUCUCUUCACCUACCCCUACUGUAUUCAUCCUACUUUCCGUCUGCUCUGCCCUUCCCAUUUGGUAACCUAUUCAUGAAACACCUGGCUCUGGGUCCUUCAGCAUCACUCCAUGUUUUACUGCUGGCAUCACUUUUCUUGGCACAGAACCUCUUAGGGCUGCUAUCCUAGGAGUAGAUGCUACUCAGGCUGGCUUAGUCCCAGGCUUCACUCACUUCUUGGCCCAUGCCCAGGAGGACCGGAAAGAACAAACUCUCUGCACAUCUCUGCAGGUGGCCACAGAGCCCCCAUCUGAGCCUUGCUGAUGGAGAAGAGCAUGCUGCCUCACAAGAUAACUGUGUGGCUCUGUUCAAAAACCUUGUUUAGAAGUUAUUAUUUCUUUUAUUGCAUUAGAAUUUGCCUCACUGUAGAUUUUGUGCUUCUGUCCUGGUUCAGCCUUAGAUAGCCAUGUGAAAGCUCUUGCAAUAGGCCUUUCUGCUAGUCAGGAGUUCUCAGACCCAUCUCUACUCUUCACUUUUCUCAAGACUAAUAUCAGACUCCUGGGCUCUUCAAGGUUUCCUCAUAUGAUAAAAGUUCUAAGCCCUCCAUUGUCCUAGUCACUGUCCUCUCUGUUCCAUCCCUGUCUGCCCUUCCAAGAUGCUGCACCCGGAGAUGAAUUUGUCCUUCCUGGGGCAAGUCACCAUGAGAUGAUUACUUUUGGAUCAUACUGAAUUUGUGGGUUAAAUAAACUCAUAGGUCUUUAGCUCAUGCACUAAAUCCAAAUUCGAUCUCUUGCUAUAAAUCAUUUUUUUGAAUAGCUGAACAAUAAGUAAAUAAUACACAAAUGAAUACUAAUCAAUAUUUGAACAUCCUCAGUAUUUUCAGCCCAAUUUUUAGCCAGACAUAGCUCAUCUUGUAUACUUCACUAAGGACACUUUAUAUGAUCAAGCAAUUAAUAUUAUGAUGUCAUGUCUCACAAGCCCCACAGUGUCACUUCCAGUCUCUUCACCACAAAGAACGUUGAAGCCUUCGUAUUUUUUUGAAAAUCAUAUUUCUAGCUGCAGGAUGGGAUGUAAGAAAAGUUCAGAUUAGGAUUAUUCUAGGCUCCUGACUAUAACUAAAAUCCUGAUUUUUAUGGAAAGGAAUGAGGAUCAUUCCUUCAAAUUAGAUUUUUGUGAUAAAAAGAAAAAAGUUGGUAAUCUAAUCUAUUCAAAAUUUUAACAAAAAGAACUGCAUUUUCUUUGGAAAAUAAUAGUUGAUUCCUUUUUGCUUUUUUUUACUUAUGAAUUGGAGUGCAAUAGAGUUUAAUAAAAAUGAUGUGAAACACUCUU